rnacentral:rRNA from 1 species
AUUGAACGCUGGCGGCAGGCUUAACACAUGCAAGUCGAGCGAGCGGCGGACGGGUGAGUAAUGUCGGGGGACUGCCCGAUAGAGGGGGAGAACUACUGGAAAGGGUAGCUAAUACCGCAUACUAUCGGAUAACCCAUAUGGGAUUAGCUAGUAGGUGAGGUAAUGGUUCACCUAGGCGACGAUCCCUAGCUGGUCUGAGAGGAUGAUCAGCCACACGGUGACUGAGACACGGCCCAGACUCCGACGGAGUCAGCCGUGGGAAAUAUUGCACAAUGGGCGCAAGCCUGAUACAGCCCUGCCGCGUGUAUGAAGAAGGCCCUAGGGUUGUAAAGUACUUUCAGUCGGGAGGCGUUACCUACAGAAGAAGCACCGGCUAACUCCGUGCCAGCCGCCGCGGUAAUAC